rnacentral:rRNA from 1 species
GAUGAACGCUGGCGGCGUGCCUAAUACAUGCAAGUCGAGCGAACGGACGAGAAGCUUGCUUCUCUGAUGUUAGCGGCGGACGGGUGAGUAACACGUGGAUAACCUACCUAUAAGACUGGGAUAACUUCGGGAAACCGGAGCUAAUACCGGAUAAUAUUUUGAACCGCAUGGUUCAAAAAGUGAAAGACGGUCUUGCCGUCACUUAUAGAUGGAUCCGCGCUGCAUUAGCUAGUUGGUAAGGUAACGGCUUACCAAGGCAACGAUGCAUAGCCGACCUGAGAGGGUGAUCGGCCACACUGGAACUGAGACACGGUCCAGACUCCUACGGGAGGCAGCAGUAGGGAAUCUUCCGCAAUGGGCGAAAGCCUGACGGAGCAACGCCGCGUGAGUGAUGAAGGUCUUCGGAUCGUAAACCCUGUCACCAAGGACUAAACUUCCGGCUCAUACCCGGAACUGAAUUAACUUGGAGAGGAAGCAGUGGCUAACUCCGUGCCAGCCGCCGCAGU